CAAACACAUAAUCUGGCUCUGAGUCCUCCUCCACAUUCUAGAAGGCAAACAGUCAUGUCCUAUGUAGCAUAUUGAAAUGUAAUACAGAUUAAAAUCUAAACGCCAUCCAUCACACACACUUCACCUAUAUGACAUAAACAGUGUAACCAUUUAAUGGGGAAUUAAUUUACUAAAAUACAGCAGUGUGGGGAUUGUUGCCUACUAGUGGCUUAUAUGGAAAGUCUCUGAUCGGGGUCCAAGCAGAUGCUGCAGAGAGUAUAGUUUUACCCCUCAAGGACAGAGGCAAUUGUACAAGUUCUGACCAAAACAAAACCUAGAAUUUGAGCUAUAUUAUUGUUCAACCAUAAUUUACCUCUUUCAUAAGUGCACCCAUACUUGUUACAUAUCAUUUUGAUCAGGUGAAAUUGGGCUUUCCUUCCACAUCAAAUAAUGGAAAUGUGGUACGUAAUGUGAAAAAAAUCUAAAUAAG